CCUUCUUGUAUUGCUUUUAGGAAGACCUGAAGCAACAGGAAGCAAGCAAGACACAGUCAAGUGACCGAAGAAGACCCCCGUGGCUGCCCGGAGCGGAAAGAAAGAGAUCACUUGCUCUGGGGAGAAACUUAGUCACCACGUUGUGAAGAGUCCUACAAAGAGGCCCUCAUGGUGGGGCACUCAAGCUUCUAGCCAGCAGCCAGGAGAGUGAGCCACCCUGGAAGCAGAUUCUCCAUCCCCAGUCAAGCCAUCAGAUGACUCCAACCUCCGAAGAGACCCUGAGCCAGAAUCACCCAACCAAGCUGCUCCCGGAUUCCUGAAUUUCAGAAACUGUUUGAGACAAUAAACAUCUGUCCAUUUAAGCUGUUA